UGGGGAAUAUUGGGCAAUGGACGCAAGUCUGACCCAGCCAUGCCGCGUGAGUGAUGAAGGCCUUCGGGUCGUAAAGCUCUGUGGGGAGGGACGAAAAGGACCUGGCUAACAUCCAGGGAGAUUGACGGUACCUCCUUAGCAAGCACCGGCUAACUCCGUGCCAGCAGCCGCGGUAAUACGGAGGGUGCAAACGUUGCUCGGAAUCAUUGGGCGUAAAGCGCGCGUAGGCGGUUUGUUAAGUCGGAUGUGAAAGCCCUCGGCUCAACCGAGGAAGUGCAUUCGAAACUGGCAGACUUGAAUAUGGAAGAGGGUCGCGGAAUUCCCGGUGUAGAGGUGAAAUUCGUAGAUAUCGGGAGGAACACCAGUGGCGAAGGCGGCGACCUGGGCCAAUAUUGACGCUGAGGCGCGAAAGCGUGGGGAGCAAACAGG
rnacentral:rRNA from 1 species